rnacentral:rRNA from 1 species
GUUCAUCUGAUUUAGGUCAGAUGAAUCAUCACAGACACCAAUGAAUUUUGUGGUCAAGCUACAAAGGGCUGAUGGUGGAUACCUAGGCACACAGAG